CCCUGCGGUCAAGAAGAACCCUCAUGUCAUUCUCAGAGGAGAAAAAGAGAAAAGUAAAGUGUUAUCUGUUUAAUUUGACAGCCUUGAAUGGAGCUUGCAUCCUCCAAUAGACCACGGUACCCUUCCCAGCAUCCUACAUGGAGCCCAGGCAGGCAUCUAUGUCACCUGCCUGGACCCUGUGCGGACAUUUCAGCUUUAGCCCCUGAUCAUAGUCCUUUAUCAGGAAUAAUAAUGCAGCUUUACUUUAUACGGGAAAUGGAGAAUAAAACCUCAACAAAUG